rnacentral:lncRNA from 1 species
UUGUUUUUUCUUAUUCAGAAGAUUACUGAGUUUUGCCAUUUUUUUCUUUUCUUUUGCUGAACCUUGAUAGCCACCGUCAAUCCUUGGAGAGCAAGGACAGUUUUGCCAAUGAGGAAAGACUGUGACCAAAAAUGACAGUUUGACUACUAGCAGCCACCAUUGUUAAGCGCCCACAAUCCUCUGCAACCAUAAGGAAAGUUUGACUAUGAGAAAGACUCGUACAAAAAGGACGGCUUGACUAAUGACUACUAUAGUAGCCACCAUGCUUUCAUGGAUUGAAAGAAACAUUCUACCAAAUCCUUGACAUGACGUGUCCUGGAACUUUGUGCAAACUUCCCAUGGGUCAGCCUCAUGCAAAUAAUAAAUCCUUCAUUUUAGCAAUGCAAAUCUGUACCAAGUCAGUCUCAAGUUUUGGAUAAGUAGUACCUACAGGUCGUGUGACCACACAGCAAAAUUAAAGAACUUCCAAUGUGCAAACCACAGCGCACGACCAAUGGAGGAGUAGAAAAGUACAGACAUGGUGGCGAACCAAAACAUUACCUUGUUCAUCCUGUCCGUAGGCCUUAGUAUUGCUGGAUUCACUGCUGGGGACGACGACCAAUUCGUCUACACCGGCUUCGCUAGCAGCAACCUAACCCUCGAUGGUGGAGCGACAGUCACGCCGAGCGGCCUCCUUGAGCUAACCAAUGGCACCGUUCGGCAGAAAGGCCAUGGAUUCCACCCCAGUUCGGUGCUCUUCUACGAGUCCUCUAGUGGUGCAGUGCAGUCUUUCUCUGUAUCCUUUGUGUUCGCCAUUCUCUCUACCUAUCCUGAGACUGAGAGUGGUCAUGGCCUAGCUUUCUUCAUUGCGCCAGACAAGAAUUUAUCGGGUUCAUUCCCAACCCAGUACUUGGGCCUCUUCAGUGACCAGACCAAUGGUGACCCAAACAGCCACAUCUUUGCAGUUGAGCUCGACACCGUCCAAAAUUAUGACCUACAGGACAUCAACAGUUACCAUGUUGGCAUCAACGUCAAUAGUCUACGCUCCAUCCGAUCCCAUGAUGCAGGCUACUAUGAUGAUAAAAGUGGUUUGUUCAAAGAUCUGUCACUCGAUAGCCAUGAGGCGAUGCAAGUGUGGGUGAACUACAACAGAGAAACCACACAGAUCAAUGUCACCAUAGCUCCCCUCAAUGUCGCCAAACCAGUGAGGCCAUUGCUGUCUGCUAACUACAAUCUCUCAGCAGUCAUCACUAAUCCGGCGUAUAUUGGUUUCUCAUCCUCAACAGGCUCUGUUAGUGGGCAACACUAUCUGCUUGGUUGGAGCUUUGGCAUCAACAGUCCUGCUCCACCAAUCGACAUUACCAAGCUGCCAGAGAUGCCUCGUCUUGGUCAGAAGGCUCGGUCGAAAGCAUUACAGAUAACUCUGCCAAUAACAAUUCUGGCUCUGUUCCUUGCUGCAAGCAUUACUAUUUUUUUAUUCGUGCGGAGGAAGCUAAGAUAUGCUGAACUACGUGAAGAUUGGGAGGUUGAGUAUGGGCCUCACAGGUUCUCAUACAAGGAUUUAUUCGAUGCCACAAGAGGAUUUAGAGAAGCUAACCUGUUAGGUACAGGAGGGUUUGGAAUGGUGUACAAGGGGAUUCUCCGUGGAUCCAGACUGAAUAUUGCUGUGAAGAGGGUGUCACACGACUCAAAACAGGGCAUAAAGGAGUUUAUAACAGAGAUUGUUAGCAUCGGCCAUCUUCAACAUCGUAACCUGGUGCCCUUAUUGGGGUACUCCCGGCGGAAAGGCGAGCUUCUCUUAGUGUAUGAUUACAUGCCCAAUGGAAGCCUCGACAAAUACUUGUAUGGUAAAGAGGGCAAGCCUACUUUAGAUUGGAAUCAAAGGUUCCAAAUAAUCAAAGGAGUAGCAUCUGGUUUACUCUACCUUCAUGAGGAGUGUGAGAAAGUCAUCAUACAUUGUGACAUCAAGGCAAGCAAUGUGCUCAUCGAUAAUGAGAUCCAUGGGAGGAUUGGUGAUUUUGGUCUCGCGAAAUUGUAUGACCAUGGCACUGACCCAGAAGCCACACAUGUGGUUGGCACCAUAGGAUACCUGGCUCCGGAGGUAGCACGCACUGGCAGGGCAACCCCUCUGACGGAUGUUUUUGCCUUCGGUAUAUUCAUUCUUGAGGUCACAUGUGGGCAGAGGCCUAUCAAGCAAAGUACCCAAGACAGGCAGGUAAUGUUAGUUGACUGGGUGCUGGAACAUUGGCAUAAGGGAUCACUUACUGAUACAGUGGACAUCAAAAUUCAAGGUGAAUAUGAUAUUGAUGAGGCAUGUCUAGCACUGAAGCUAGGAUUGUUAUGCUCCCACCCAUUCACUAGUGCAAGGCCAAAUAUGAGGCAAGUCAUGCAGUACCUCAACAAAGAAAUGCCAAUACCAGAGUUAACACCAAACUUAAGCUUUUCCAUGCUAGCCUUGAUGCAGAAUGAUGAGCUGAUAAUGCACUGUCCAUCAGAAAUAGGCUUCGGCACAAUAUCUACCAUCUCAGGAGUCAGGAGGUAGAUGACUAGAUGCUAUGGGGCUUGACAGUGGCAGGCACAGGUCUUCAAUGUUUGCAUGCACAGUUGCACACAUAGUCAAUGUUCCAUAAAGAUGAAGACAUGAAGUAAACUCUAUAAAAUAGAGUCGCUUAAUAUUUUUUUAUGCUCUUCCUUUGUCUGUUUUAGACUAAAUUACCCCAUUGUUUGUGUGCUCGUUAAAUUCAUCUUUGUCAUUCUCGAAUUAUAUUCAAUCUCAUUUUCAUUCAUAAACAUACAAUUUUCUUGUCAUUAAAAUAAAAUCCAUAUAACUGGACAAGAUUUCUCCAAGACAACGAGAAAAUACAUCACAAUCGCAGACAUAGUCAAUGAAACCAAGGAAAGUGACUGCAUUGAUGGUAAUGACUAAAUCAGAGCAUUUUUUGAGAUAUUUUAAAGAAAUGGGACAUGUACACGGACAGAAAGGGAUUUUAAUGGUCCAGAGCUUGACUUGAGAAACACACUAGAUCAUAACAUAAUAUGUGUUGUUUACUCAUAUUUGAGAAUAAGAGCUCCACUUAGUGUUAUGAACCACAACCACAUACCAUGCGAGGUGUGCAAUUGAGAUAUACCAGUGCUAAUAAGGCAUCUGGUUGAUAAGUGAUCCAUACGUAGUCAAAGGAAGAACUGAAUCAUAUCAUACAUCAAAAAGUAUGAAUCAGUUGUAUUUCAUAUAAUAAUAAAUCUAUUUCGACCUUAUUAACCGGCCAAUAUCUAGAUAAACUAAACACAGGGAGCAAACAUGGUCAGCGAGAUUAAUGAAAAUUGAAAGCAGUGAUUGUACAGAAAUCCUACCACAGCACGCAUUUCUUGAUAUAUUCCUAACAACUGGGACAUAGAGACAAUGGGCAAGGAAAUUUCAUUCUCAACAAAUUGUCCCAAGAGACACGAAUACUUGACACUAGACAUGUUGAUCAACCUAAUGAACAAGCACAUGGCCACUAUGUUAAGCUAUGAAAAUAACCAUGAAAGCAGCAUUGGAUUUUUAGUAGCUGAAAUUACUUUUGACCAAUAAACUUUUUCACUGAAAGUCAAGUCCUAAUGUAUUAGUUAAACUAAAAUAAGUCAUAACUAGCCAUCCAAUUAAAAAAAGACUACCUGCUCUCCACUGAGCAGGCCUGAUGCACUGGUGAGAAGCCUUUUUAUUGAGCCAAAGAUCCUAGGUUCGAUGCAGUCUCUCUGUAAAAAAUGCAUGUUAAGGCUUGUCUCGGUUAUUCCUUCCCCAUACCUCACUUAUAGAAGCCUCUAGCACUGGGUCUGUCCUUUUUACCUACCCUGGAGGUAGCAAGAACCAAAAGAGCCAACUGUAGUACAUUAAGAGAAAGAAGUCCUCACAAUGUGAAACCUUCAAAGAAAAUGUAUGGAAAAAAUCAACAGGUCAAAGUAUCUAGCAAAUGUUUGAACCUGAACAAAUAGCUAACUUCACUGAUUCAACAUCCACUGACAGUGACUCAAUUAUUGAAUGACAUAUGUCUUCGAAGAAAAGUAAACAUUAAACACCUUACCGGUUCAAUUCCACUAUAUAUUAACAACAAACUGAGACUAGAUGUAGAGGACAACUGCAAGCCCCAGGUAGCUCAGAAAAUACUUUGCUCUUGCAUCCUUCUUGAGCUACCACAAGUUACAUCCAUGCCUGAAAAGAAACAUAAGUGGCUCAUUCUAUACCAUCUUCUCUACCUUUCCAUCCUCAACUUUACAUCCUUCAUCAUUGCUGGUGAUCAAUUCGUCUACUCCAGCUUCAGAGAAGCAAAUCUCAGCCUAGACGGCACUGCCACAAUCAAACCAGAUGGGCUCCUUGAGCUAACCAACGGUAGCUUUAAUCUCAAAGGCCAUGCAUUCUACCCAACUCCUCUGCAUUUCCGCAAGUCAUCAGGUGAAAAUGUGAAAUCCUUCUCAGUCACCUUCAUCUUCAGCAUCCUCUCUGCCUACCCUGACAAGAGUGCAGAUGGCAUGACCUUCUUAGUCACAACAAACAAGAAUUUCUCUGAUGCAUUUCCAGCCCAGUACCUAGGACUCCUCAAUGAUCAGAACAACGGCAAUCCAAACAACCAUAUCUUUGCGGUUGAGCUUGACACCAUACAAAACAGUGAGUUCGAGGAUAUCAACGACAACCACAUUGGCAUUAAUAUUAAUGGUCUCCACUCGGUACAAUCCCAGGGUGCUGGUUUCUACGAUGACAAAAACGGUAUGUUCAAGAACAUGUCACUCAUUAGUCGUGAGGUGAUGCAGGUGUGGGUGGAAUAUGAUGGAUGGACCACACAGAUCGAUGUAACCUUGGGUCCCAUUAAAAUGGCUAAACCUAAUAGGCCACUAGUCUCAGCCAUCUACAAUCUAUCAACAGUUCUCACAGAUACAUCAUACAUUGGAUUCUCAUCUUCAACUGGUGUAAUUAACUCAAGAUAUUGCUUGCUUGGUUGGAGCUUCAGUAUGAGCAACACAACUCCAGAGAUUGACAUCACCAAGCUGCCAAAGUUACCUCGUGUUGGCUCCAGGUCACCAUCAAAGGUCCUGACAAUCAUUCUUCCAACAGCCAUUGCAUCAUUCAUCUUUGUUACUGGAAUCACCAUCAUUUUACUGGCACGGAGGAAAUUGGCAAACAAUGAGCUACAGGAAGAUUGGGAGGUUGAGUUUGGACCACAUCGGUUCACAUACAAAGAUCUGUUCCUUGCCACUGAAGGAUUUAAGAAUAAGAAUGUGCUGGGUGCAGGAGGAUUUGGGAAGGUGUAUAAAGGUAUACUUCCAACAUCUAAAUUAGAAAUUGCAGUGAAGAGGUUGUCACAUAACUCAAAGCAAGGAACAAAAGAGUUCAUCACUGAGAUUGUUAGCAUUGGCCACCUUCGACACCGAAAUCUCGUGCAGUUACUAGGCUAUUGCAGGCGAAAAGGUGAACUUCUAUUGGUAUAUGACUACAUGCCAAAUGGUAGUCUUGACAAGUUUCUAUACUGUGAAAAUGACAAACCUUCACUGGAUUGGGCUACAAGAUUUCACAUCAUAAAAGGAGCUGCAUGUGGCCUGCUCUACCUUCAUGAGAAGUGGGACAAAGUUGUAAUCCACCGAGACAUCAAAGCAAGCAAUGUGCUUCUUGAUAGCAAAUUCAAUGGACGGCUAGGAGACUUUGGCCUUGCAAAGUCAUAUAACCAUGGCACAGACCCACAGACCACACGUGUGGUUGGCACCAUGGGUUACCUGGCCCCAGAAUUGGUACGCAUGGGUAAAGCAUCCCCACUUACAGAUGUGUUUGCCUUUGGCACAUUCCUUCUUGAAGUGACAUGUGGGCAUAGGCCUGUAAAGCAAAAUGAGCUAGGUGAGCAUAUUAUGUUGGUUGAUUGGGUACUUGACCAUUGGCAGAAAGGAUCAUUGGUGGAGACAAUAGACAAGAGGCUAGAAGGUAACUGCAACAUAGAUGAGGCGUGCCUGGUUUUAAAACUUGGGCUCUUGUGCUCACAACCAUUCGCUAGUGCAAGGCCUAGUAUGCAUCUUGUAAUUCAAUACCUUAAUGGUGGCAUGCAGUUGCCAGAGUUCACACCAUCAGAUAUAAGCAUCAACAUGCUAGCCUUUAUGGAAAAUAGGGGAUUCAAUCCUUCCUUGAUUUCAUACCCACAGCUGACAAUGAGUGUUGGCACAAUGUCAAGCCUCUCAGGUGGAAGGUAAAAAUGAUUUGAGGUCAUUAAUCAGAGCAAUAGCAGGUUUCUUUUGUAUAUUACACGGGGUGAUAUCUAUUAUUGCAUAUUUCAGAAUUAAAAUUUUUAGGGUGUAUUUGAUUUGAGCAACCACCUCAUGCUACAUGACCUGUUGCAUCAUGAAUUCAUUACAGGGGUGUUUGGUUUGAAGAAUGAGUUAGUCUAUCAUCUAUUCAUUUCUCACUUUUUUGUUUGGUUUAUGGUACAGUGUUUUCAAGUCGUCUGACUAUUUGUGAUUAGUCAGUCUAAUCGGUACUCGGUAGGUAUCAACCGACCAGCCCCACCGAUGCGACUAGGCCGACCAAAAUAUUAGUAUUAGACAUGGGAUGACCAGUUUAGAGUUUAAACAUGACUGUAGAUGGGCUUUUGAAGCAGGGGAACUUGUAGGCUGCAAUUUGCUUUGUGGGCAUCUAGGGUUGAGAACGCUCAGGCAAGAACUCCAGUCCCAAUCUGCACAGGCGCACAGCCGCCCUCCAGCCUAUAGUCAGCACAGCAGCCCUCCAGUCGGUAGCUAUACGAUUAGGUUCAACUAGACGACUUGAAAACAUUGUUAUAAUGUUAUGUAUAAUAUGAUGAUGCACCAUCACCUCAAGUCAAUAAUUAAUACUAGUACAAGGAAUGAAGUCAUUCCAUCAUAAUUGAGGAAUUAACUCAUGAUGCACCUCAUAUAGGACCAUGCAUAUAUUAGUUAUUAGCUUCGAAGGAAUAAGGUGGUGAUGGAUCAACUCAUUCCAUCUUACAAACCAAACAAAAAAGUGAGGCGUGAGAAAAUGACAUACCACAGCAUUCCUUAAUCAAACACACCACAUGCUGCACUUGCAUAGCAGCGUGUGAUUAUGUAUCUAGAUGCUAUAUUCACUUAUUCAGUAUUCAAAUGGUCGAACCAAAGUACGCACACGGGGAACUGCUACCAUUAUCUUGUAAUAAAAUUAUGAUCAAACUAUAUCUUUUUAUUUGGUCAAUUUCCUUUACAAUACUGACUUAGACGCCCUAGUGCCUAAACCACACACGCAUCCAUAAGGUUCAGCAAUCACACGCAGAACCUCAACCAACUUGGGUACGGUUGUCUGAAAUCAGAAAGAUUGCAUCUUGAAAGAAACGGAAGCGUACCAAUUGUGGUUGAGCAGAGGACAUCAGGUAAGCAUCAUCGCUUCCUGGCUACCAACGAAAGCGUGCCCAUUGGCCAUCACGUGCACCACCGGCAGGACUACUGGUAGGCCGACGGCCGCCGCGCAAACUGCACCCUUGUUUAGAGACGCCGAGCCGCCGAGGGUGAGCCGCCGCAGGAGCAGAGAACGCGGCGGGCGGAAUGGGCGGAUCAGGGGCGGAGCCAGGAUUAC